rnacentral:rRNA from 1 species
UACGUAGGGACCGAGCGUUGUCCGGAUUCAUUGGGCGUAAAGAGCUCGUAGGCGGUUUGUCGCGUCUGCUGUGAAAUCCCGAGGCUCAACCUCGGGUCUGCAGUGGGUACGGGCAGACUGGAGUGCGGUAGGGGAGAAUGGAAUUCCUGGUGUAGCGGUGGAAUGCGCAGAUAUCAGGAGGAACACCGAUGGCGAAGGCAGUUCUCUGGGCCGUAACUGACGCUGAGGAGCGAAAGCGUGGGGAGCGAACAGG